rnacentral:rRNA from 1 species
GAUGAACGCUGGCGGCGUGCUUAACACAUGCAGGUCGAACGGAAAGGCCCAAGCUUGCUUGGGUACUCGAGUGGCGAACGGGUGAGUAACACGUGGGUGAUCUGCCCUGCACUUCGGGAUAAGCCUGGGAAACUGGGUCUAAUACCGGAUAGGACCACUUCUUGGAUGUUGUGGUGGAAAGUUUUUUCGUUGUGGGAUGAGCUCGCGGCCUAUCAGCUUGUUGGUGGGGUAAUGGCCUACCAAGGCGUCGACGGGUAGCCGGCCUGAGAGGGUGUACGGCCACAUUGGGACUGAGGUACGGCCCAGAUACGGACGGGAGGCAGCAGUGGGGAAGAUUGCACAAGGGGCGCAAGCCUGAUGCAGAGAGGCCGCGUGGGGGAUGACGGCCUUCGGGUUGUAAACUCCUUUCGCUAGGGACGAAGCGUUUUGUGACGGUACCUGGAGAAGAAGCACCGGCUAACUACGUG